GUUUCUGUAAUGCAGCCAGAGUGGUGUGCCAAGGAACUGUGCAAGGGUGGGUCGUUCAUGCUACUCUAUCAGAAAAAUCCACCAUCAGGCUGUUCGCCCAUUAAUUAAAUUGCCUAGUGUGGAUGGAAGGGUGGGGAAGAGAUCUGGGCAAGCUGUCUAUUCCAUGUUUAAGUGAAUUUAUAUUCAACUUUGAAAAGGGAUUGCAAUUUUUUCUUCUUUGAGAUUGAAAUCAUUUUACGAGUAAAUACUGGAAGAGAAAUGUGAUUAUGUGACUUUCUUUUUCUAUUGUAUUAUUCUUAUGGCUGAUUAUUGCUUUGAUGUCUUCAUUAAAAGAUGAUCUUCCUUCAAAAUAAGGCUGGAUCUUAUGUCAGAAUGAUUGCAGGAAAGAGGCCUGGCCGAAGAAGCAGAGAAACUCUGGCUUCAGAAACGUUCAAGGUUUAAACAUGGACUCUAUCUCCGCAAGCCAAAGUGUCUGUUCUAAAAGAAGUCCAGCACCUUACAAUUUUUGCAACUGGUCAAAAGAAAGAGGGCUACCAUGCAGGAAUAAUUGGACCAUGCCUGGACAAGCACAAUGAGUUGGACGCAAGCCUUCAAUUCUAA
rnacentral:lncRNA from 1 species